rnacentral:rRNA from 1 species
UACGAAGGGAGCUAGCGUUGUUCGGAAUUACUGGGCGUAAAGGGCGCGUAGGCGGCUCUUUUAGUCAGGCGUGAAAGCCCCGGGCUUAACCUGGGAACAGCGUUUGAUACUGGAGAGCUUGAGUGUGGGAGAGGUUGGUGGAAUUCCCAGUGUAGAGGUGAAAUUCGUAGAUAUUGGGAAGAACACCAGUGGCGAAGGCGACUUACUGGACACAUAUUGACGCUGAGGUGCGAAAGCGUGGGGAGCAAACAGG